UGGAGAGUUUGAUCCUGGCUCAGAGUGAACGCUGGCGGCGUGCUUAACACAUGCAAGUCGAACGAUGAUUAAGAGCUUGCUCUUAUGAUUAGUGGCGCACGGGUGAGUAAUGUAUAGCUAACGUGCCCCAUAGAGGGGGAUAACAGUUGGAAACGACUGCUAAUACCCCAUACUCCUUCUUCCUAUAAGGGAAGUCGGGAAAGUUUUUUCGCUAUGGGAUCGGGCUAUAUGAUAUCAGCUUGUUGGUGAGGUAACGGCUCACCAGGGCUAUGACAUCUAACUGGUCUGAGAGGAUGAUCAGUCACACUGGAACUGAGACACGGUCCAGACUCCUACGGGAGGCAGCAGUGGGGAAUAUUACACAAUGGAGGAAACUCUGAUGUAGCAACGCCGCGUGGAGGAUGACACAUUUCGGUGCGUAAACUCCUUUUAUACAGGAAGAUAAUGACGGUACUGUAUGAAUAAGCACCGGCUAACUCC
rnacentral:rRNA from 1 species